GUAUAACCUGCCUGGAACAAAAACAAAUUGGCUUUUGUCCACCAGACUGUCCAUAAAAUCUUGCAUUCUUCUAAUGAUGAUUUUGGAUAUAAGUCUAUACACCACAGCACAACAGGAUAUAAGCCUGAAUUUAGAUACCUUUGAUGGAUUCUUGACCUUUGAGAUCAAUGUAAAUGUAGUACAAUUUAUAGCUUUAUACAUUUUACCAUUAGUAAAUAAUUGAAUCACUGCAUUUGUCAC
rnacentral:lncRNA from 1 species